UAGGGUCCACAUUCGUCUUGCAUUAUCAUCUUUGCUUCUAGUUUCUGCUCCAUAUGUUAUGUAUAAAUAUGAGUCUAUAGAGCUGUGUAAUGUGCAGUUUUGAAUUUUGUGGGCUAAUGCUGCUGAAUUUCAGGAAAAUGCGUAGAAGCAGGAGAGCUGCCACUGCACCAGAACCAGAUGUGCCUGACGAGGUGUCGGCACAGGAUGAGGCGCCUGCCCCGAGGAGGCGGGGUAGGAGGCCUAGAGCUGCUCAAGUAGAGGAGCAGCCACCCCCAGUACAGGAUCAGUCCUUUAUGGCACAGGGUCCCAUGGACCCCAUGGCAGCUACUCUAGCUGGUCUGCAGAGAACCAUCGACAUGAUGGCGCAGUAUAUGGUCCACCCUCCACAGCAGCAGCAGUCCACCGCACCAAGAGGGGAAACUUACAAACAGAUCAUUAACUUCAAGAAGUUGGUGCCUGGUACUUAUGAUGUGUCAGACGAUGCAUAUCGAUUUUUGGAUUCCUGCAGACAGGCAGGAACAGAAUUGCAGUUGACUGAUAGAAGACUUAUAGAGUGUAUGCAGCAUGUCAUGGGGCCUAUGCCUAGACAAUGGAUGAAUGACUACAUAUUACCUCGGAUGGAGGGUUUGUCGUGGACUCAGUUUGUGGAACUGUUCAUCAACCGAUUUAUACCAGAAAGUUUCAGAGAUCAAAAGCAGUGGGCCUUUGAGGCCUUAAGACAGAAUGGCAGGUCUGUAGAUGAAUAUGCUACAGAAUUUCUGGAAUUGAGCAGAUAUGCCCCUACAGCAGUAGCUACAGAAACUAUGAAGGUGAAGAGAUUCCUAAAGGGGCUUGACAGGAGGUAUGCGAACCUGGCCAUGAUGUCUGAUCAGUCUUUUGAUGUGGUGGUUGAUCGAGCCAGACAGAUUGAGAUUAGCUAUGCUGUGGAUGACAGCGGAAGAGCAAAGAAAAACAGAGCAGAGGGUUCUUCAGGUGUUCCCCACAUGGGUACUACGGAUAGUGGUGGCCAAACUACUUACAGAGGAAGAAGCAGAAAUAAGAGGAGUGGUUUUAGACACAAAUCCCGAGGGUUCAGACCAGGGUACGGAUCCAGCAGUGGUCACAGUUCGGGGUACAGCAGUUCUGGGUCUGGUUCAGGAUCCUCCUUGGCACCUUGUGCACAGUGUGGAAGAGGACAUUCAGGACCUUGUUUGAUGGGUUCAGGAGUAUGCUUCAGGUGUGGCCAACCAGGUCACUUUGCUAGGGAAUGCCCCGUGUUCAGUGAGCCACAGAUGGGGUCACAGGGUUCUGUUGCAAAUGUUCCUCGACAAUUGUAUCCGGGUGCUUCCAACAUGGCAGGCAGUCAGUUCAGUGGCCAACAGGGCCGAGGACAAGGGGGACGUGGAUUUGGAGGCAGAUCAGGAGGUAGAAGUCAGUAUCAGGGUUCUGCCACUCAGGGUAGGGGUCAAGCUCGGGUUUUCACCCUGACCCACCAGGAUGCUCAGGCUUCCAAUGCAGUUGUGGCAGGUAUUCUUCUGGUCUGUUCUUAUGAGGCUCGUGUUUUGAUAGAUCCGGGUGCUACGCACUCAUUUGUCUCCCCUGUGUUUGCCAUGAGGUUGGGUAGAAACCCUACAACUUUAGAGUGCCCUUUGUCAGUAGCUACCCCACUUAGUGACAACAUAGAUGUAGAUAUGGUUUUUCCGGGUAGCCCAGUAGUAGUGGAUGGAAAGAUCCUCCCAGCAGACUUGGUUCCUCUACCAGUAAUGGAUUUCGAUGUAAUCCUGGGGAUGGACUGGUUGGCAACUCAUUAUGCCACCUUAGACUGCAGGAACAAAAAGGUGUAUUUCCACAUACCUGGUGUGGAAGAGUUUAGCUUUGAUGGUGACAGGAGCGUGGCUCCAUAUAAUUUGGUGUCAGCAAUUAGUGCUAGAAAAAUGUUGAGGCGUGGAUGCCAAGGGUAUUUGGCAUUGGUGAGAGAUACAUCUGUAGAAGGUGUCAGCAUGGAAAAUGUUCCUGUUGUCAGAGAAUUUAUGGAUGUCUUCCCAGAGGAGCUUCCAGGGUUGCCACCAGGAAGGGAAAUAGAGUUUUGCAUUGAUGUUGUGCCGGGUACGAACCCCAUAUCAAUGCCACCUUACAGGAUGGCACCAGCAGAAUUGAAAGAGCUGAAGGAGCAACUACAGGAGCUUUUGGACAAGGGUUUCAUACGUCCGAGCACUUCACCCUGGGGUGCUCCUGUUCUAUUUGUGAGAAAGAAGGAUGGGUCAUUGAGGUUGUGUAUCGACUACAGACAGCUGAACAAGGUCACUGUGAAGAACAAGUAUCCACUUCCUCGGAUCGAUGAUCUGUUUGAUCAGCUCCAAGGGGCUAGAUUCUUUUCCAAGAUAGACCUGCGAUCAGGCUACCAUCAGUUGAGAAUCAGGAAUGAGGACGUGUCCAAAACGGCUUUCAGGACAAGAUAUGGUCAUUAUGAGUUCUUGGUGAUGUCUUUUGGACUCACUAAUGCACCAGCAGCCUUCAUGGACUUGAUGAACAGGGUGUUCAAGCCAUUUUUGGACCGUUUUGUCAUCGUAUUCAUAGAUGACAUUUUGGUAUACUCUCGGACCGAGGAAGAACACGUGUGGCACUUGAGGAUGGUGUUGCAGACUUUGAGGGAGCACCAGCUAUAUGCCAAAUUUUCAAAAUGUGAAUUUUGGCUAGAAAGCAUCUCAUUCUUGGGACACGUGGUUUCUAGUGAAGGCAUUCAAGUGGAUCCUAAGAAAAUUGAAGCUGUAACUAAUUGGCUUAGGCCUACACCAGUCACUGAGGUGCGAAGUUUUCUGGGUUUAGCUGGCUACUAUAGGCGUUUUGUGCAAGAUUUCUCCAGGAUAGCGGCUCCCCUAACUAAGUUGACUCGGAAGAAUAUUCCAUUCAUUUGGACAGAUGACUGUGAGGAGAGUUUCCAGAAGCUUAAGGAGUGUCUAACCACCGCCCCUGUGUUGACACUACCUAUGAGUGGUGAAGGAUACACCGUGUAUUGUGACGCCUCCAGAGUUGGCCUAGGGUGUGUUUUGAUGCAGAAUGGAAAAGUAGUGGCUUAUGCUUCAAGGCAGCUGAAGAGGCAUGAGCAGAACUACCCCACCCAUGAUUUGGAAAUGGCGGCUGUAGUCUUUGCACUAAAAAUCUGGAGACACUACCUGUAUGGUGAAGUGUGCGAGAUAUACACCGACCACAAGAGUUUGAAGUACAUCUUCCAACAGAGGGAUUUAAACUUGAGACAGAGGAGAUGGAUGGAGCUUCUGAAAGACUAUGAUUGCACCAUCCAGUACCACCCUGGGAAGGCCAAUGUAGUAGCAGAUGCUUUAAGCAGAAAAUCUUCUGGCAGUUUGGCGCACAUUUCAGCAGAGAAGAGACCGUUGAUUCAGGAAGUACAUGAGUUGAUGGAUCAAGGUUUAAUCCUAGAUCUUUCAGAUGAGGGGGUAUUGUUGGCUCACUUUUCAGUGAGGCCAGACUUGAGGGACAGAGUUAGAGUUUCCCAGCACAGAGACCAACAAUUGAUGAAGAUCAUAGAAAGAGUACAGCAAGGUGAAGGUGGUGAGUUUGGAUUUGCCAAUGAUGGCGCCCUAGUGCAAGGUUCUAGGAUAUGUGUGCCCGAUGUGGACAAUCUCAGAAAUGAAAUCAUGCAAGAGGCACACUAUACACUGUACAAUGUCCACCCAGGUUCCACCAAAAUGUACCAUGAUGUGAAAGAUAGCUAUUGGUGGAAUGGCAUGAAGAGAGACAUAGCAGACUUUGUGUCCAAGUGCUUGACUUGUCAGAAGGUGAAGUUUGAACACCAGAGACCGUCAGGGAAGCUGCAAGAGCUCCCUAUCCCAGAAUGGAAGUGGGAAAUGAUUACUAUGGAUUUUGUGACUGGGUUGCCUCGUACCACGCGAGGAUAUGAUUCGAUAUGGGUAAUUGUAGACCGCUUGACCAAAUCAGCUCACUUCUUACCUGUAAAGACUACAUACUCUGUGGCACAGUAUGCCCGGCUCUACAUUCGAGAAAUAGUCAGAUUGCAUGGAGUUCCGGCUUCCAUAAUAUCUGACAGAGGGCCCCAGUUCACUUCUCGGUUUUGGAGAAAGUUGCAGGAGGCACUUGGCACACAGUUGAACUUCAGUACGGCUUUCCACCCUCAGACAGACGGACAGUCCGAAAGGACAAUCCAAACACUGGAAGACAUGCUUCGCAUGAGUGUUUUGGAUUUUGGAGGUCAAUGGGAUGAGCAGCUAGCUUUGGUGGAGUUUGCCUACAACAACAGUUAUCACUCCAGUAUAGGGAUGCCACCCUAUGAGGCACUAUAUGGAAGAAAAGUGUAGGUCUCCUCUGUGCUGGACAGAAAUGGGGGAAGCGAAGGUGCAUGAUGUAGACCUAGUGCAGUACACUUCAGAGAUAGUUCCUUUAAUCAGGGAACGAUUGAAAACAGCUUUCAGUAGGCAGAAGAGUUAUGCAGACCCCAGACGGAGGGAUGUGGAGUUUGCAGUGGGCGACUAUGUAUUCCUGAAGGUAUCUCCAAUGAAGGGAGUCAUGAGA
rnacentral:misc_RNA from 1 species